rnacentral:piRNA from 1 species
GCCCAGAUGAUGCAGACGGCCCCA